rnacentral:rRNA from 1 species
CCUACGGGGGGCAGCAGUGGGGAAUAUUGGGCAAUGGGCGCAAGUCUGACCCAGCAACGCCGCGUGAAGGAAGAAGGCUUUCGGGUUGUAAACUUCUUUUCUCAGGGACGAAGAAAGUGACGGUACCUGCGGAAUAAGCCACGGCUAACUACGUGCAAGCAGCCGCGGUAAUACGUAGGUGGCAAGCGUUAUCCGGAUUUAUUGGGUGUAAAGGGCGUGUAGGCGGGAGCGCAAGUCAGAUGUGAAAACUCAGGGCUCAACCCUGAGCCUGCAUUUGAAACUGUGUUUCUUGAGUGCUGGAGAGGCAAUCGGAAUUCCGGGUGUAGCGGUGAAAUGCGUAGAUAUACGGAGGAACACCAGUGGCGAAGGCGGAUUGCUGGACAGUAACUGACGCUGAGGCGCGAAAGCGUGGGGAGCAAACAGGAUUAGAUACCCCAGUAGUC